UUUGCGGGGCCGAGUUGAACCCGUUUUUCGGCCGAGCACCGAGUGAAAAACCCGCCUAACGGGUCAAAUAAAGGCACCGGCUCCGGAACCCUGUUGGUGGGAAAGAGGCUCAUGAGAGACUCACUCACUUCACACAACAAAUCCGACUCCACUGACCUGCAAAACCUUCCCUGCUCUCAGUUCAUACUACAUUUCUCCCUGCCUGCCCUCCUGGAAAACCUGCACCCAAGGCUCACCGGACCAGCCUCCCUCUCCCUCCCUAAGGAUUGACUCCUCUCUCACGACUCUUCUUCAGAUUACUGCCUCAUUCUCCUCCCAGCGGAAACCAAGAAAUUCUGUUUGUUACUCCGUUGUCUGUAAAUAAAGAAACUGAAUCUGCCAUUGUUGUCGAGUGCUGUCUGCCCUUGAGUCCUCCCUUUUUACUCAGUGGCCUUGGCCCCCUUACAGUUCUGUCCCUGGCUCAUCACAUCCACAUUCAAAACACAAAGAUAAUAAAGUUCAGCUCAAAGCUUCACACAUUCAUC